rnacentral:lncRNA from 1 species
GCCAUCACCAGAGUUUUGCCCCCAAGCUCCUGGUAUGGCACCUGCAGGGCACAAGCAGAAUCAGAGGGGGCCAGAGCGACUCACGCACCUCCAGGGGUGCUAUGGGCAGGGGCCUGCAUUCCAGCCCACAGGGUCCAGCUCAGGCCCCACGCAUCCUGGGCAAGACAUACCAGAAGUACGGUCCAGGCAGACAGGAGCAGAGUGAGCCCACAGAGGUGGAGAGAGAAAGAAGAAAGUGAUGUAAGAGAAAAUCCUGCAGCUCAAACCAGCCCCUGAAGUCACCACAGCCACUCCUCAAGACCAGGAAGGGCUACACCCAAGUCAUCCUGGAACCCCUCCCAACACACUCUCACACUCACACACACUGCAGGUUCCUUUUGGGCCCACAUACAUACACAUACCUGCAUGUGCAAGGACAUAUACACACACACAUGCACUCAAAGGCCAUUUAGAUCCCUGGCUUCUGAGAUCAAGCCCUUCCCUCCAUCCUCCAUAUGGAUUCCUUGAGCAAGAGAUUCCUCCUAGUCACCCCCAAACAAACAUGGGGGAAAUGGAAGCACACAGAGGCCUCUGCAAACUUAAAAGAAGAAAAGGAGCUUUCUAGGCUGACCAACACCAAAAGACAGGGGAAAAUAAAUUAUGAUAUGAUUAAUGAUGGA